rnacentral:rRNA from 1 species
CCUACGGGUGGCUGCAGUGGGGAAUAUUGCACAAUGGGCGCAAGCCUGAUGCAGCCAUGCCGCGUGUGUGAAGAAGGCCUUCGGGUUGUAAAGCACUUUCAGCGGGGAGGAAGGCGUUAAGGUUAAUAACCUUGUCGAUUGACGUUACCCGCAGAAGAAGCACCGGCUAACUCCGUGCCAGCAGCCGCGGUAAUACGGAGGGUGCAAGCGUUAAUCGGAAUUACUGGGCGUAAAGCGCACGCAGGCGGUCUGUCAAGUCGGAUGUGAAAUCCCGGGGCUCAACCUGGGAACUGCAUUCGAAACUGGCAGGCUAGAGUCUUGUAGAGGGGGGUAGAAUUCCAGGUGUAGCGGUGACAUGCGUAGAGAUCUGGAGGAAUACCGGUGGCGAAGGCGGCCCCCUGGACAAAGACUGACGCUCAGGUGCGAAAGCGUGGGGAGCAAACAGGAUUAGAUACCCGAGUAGUC